rnacentral:rRNA from 1 species
GACGAACGCUGGCGGCGUGCUUAACACAUGCAAGUCGAACGGAAAGGCCCCUGUUUGGGGGCUCGCGCGGCUGACGAGCGGGUAAGACGCGCGUAACCUGCCCUCGCCGUAGUUCGAACUACAGGAAACUGACGGGAAUACAGGCUGGGUAGGCUGGCGGCAUGGAGGGGGUUGGGGAACGUUGUUUGGUUUGGAUGGACGCGCGGCGCAUCAGCUUGUUGGUGGGGGAGUGGCUUACCAAGGCUUGUACGGGUAGCCGGCCUGGGAGGGCGACCGGCCACAUUGGGGCUGGGAUACGGCCCAGACUCCUACGGGGGGCAGCAGGGGGGAAUAUUGCACAAUGGGGGGAAGCCUGAUGCAGCAACGCCGCGGGCGGGAUGACGGCCUUCGGGUUGUAAAACGCUUUCAGCAGGGGCGAAGCUUGUGGUGACGGUACCUGCAGAAGAAGCACCGGCUAACUACGUG